CCUACGGGAGGCAGCAGUGGGGAAUAUUGGGCAAUGGAGGCAACUCUGACCCAGCGACGCCGCGUGAAUGAUGAAGGUCUUCGGAUUGUAAAGCUCUGUGAUGGGGGAUGAACACAAUGACGUUACUCCAAUAGCAAGACACGGCUAACUACGUGCCAGCAGCCGCGGUAAUACGUAGGUGGCAAGCGUUAUCCGGAUUGACUGGGCGUAAAGGGUGCGUAGGGGGUUUAGUAAGUUGGAGGUGAAAUUCCGGGGCUCAACCGCGGCGCUACCGCCAAAACUAUUAGGCUAGAGUGCAGGAGAGGUAGGCGGAAUUCCUAGUGUAGCGGUGAAAUGCGUAGAUAUUAGGAGGAACAUCAGGGGCGAAGGCGACUUACUGGACGGUAACUGACGCUGAGGCACGAAAGCGUGGGGAGCAAACAGGAUUAGAUACCCGAGUAGUC
rnacentral:rRNA from 1 species